rnacentral:rRNA from 1 species
GAUGAACGCUGGCGGCGUGCCUAAUACAUGCAAGUCGAGCGAACAGACGAGGAGCUUGCUCCUCUGACGUUAGCGGCGGACGGGUGAGUAACACGUGGAUAACCUACCUAUAAGACUGGGAUAACUUCAGGAAACCGGAGCUAAUACCGGAUAAUAUAUUGAACCGCAUGGUUCAAUAGUGAAAGACGGUUUUGCUGUCACUUAUAGAUGGAUCCGCGCCGCAUUAGCUAGUUGGUAAGGUAACGGCUUACCAAGGCGACGAUGCGUAGCCGACCUGAGAGGGUGAUCGGCCACACUGGAACUGAGACACGGUCCAGACUCCUACGGGAGGCAGCAGUAGGGAAUCUUCCGCAAUGGGCGAAAGCUUGACGGAGCAACGCCGCGUGAGUGAUGAAGGUCUUCGGAUCGUAAAACUCUGUUAUUAGGGAAGAACAAAUGUGUAAGUAACUAUGCACGUCUUGACGGUACCUAAUCAGAAAGCCACGGCUAACUACGUG